GGAUGCAUUGUUAGAGGAUUCUGAAGUAUCUGUGGAUGUUGUUUUAUUUUGAUUUUCAUCUAUGGAUAAAAUAAAUUUGAAAUUGUAUAAAACGGAUGUUUCCGUUUGAUUCGUUGGAUUUAACAUUUUUGUUAAAGGUCACACUUUUAAAGCCAGUACCUUCAUAGAGUCUGGAACUUUAUAAUCGUUAAAUAAUUUAUGACCGUGAUAAACUGGUAUGAUUUCAUCGUUUUCGCCAUGAAUAAUAACUAAAGAUAAAAAGGGUGAAUGAAGAACAAGACCACCUGGCUGUAAACCGACUUGAACUAAAGUACUAGCAAGCUUAGUAGCGGGACCUAAAAGCGGAAUACUAAAGAUAUGUUUUUCGUUAUUCAGUGUGUAUUACAAAGUUUAGUAAAUCCAAAGUAACAUAGUUGAAGUUGAUGGCUAACAUUUAGAAGUUUGUGUGUGACUAAACUUUGAUCUAUUCGUUUAUCAUGAAACAAUGGGAAUACAAAUUUACCUGUUCCUAUAGAACGACCAAAAAGAA